rnacentral:rRNA from 1 species
CUGCCCUGGACUCUGGGAUAAGCGCUGGAAACGGCGUCUAAUACUGGAUAUGAGACGUGAUCGCAUGGUCGUGUUUGGAAAGAUUUUUCGGUCUGGGAUGGGCUCGCGGCCUAUCAGCUUGUUGGUGAGGUAAUGGCUCACCAAGGCGUCGACGGGUAGCCGGCCUGAGAGGGUGACCGGCCACACUGGGACUGAGACACGGCCCAGACUCCUACGGGAGGCAGCAGUGGGGAAUAUUGCACAAUGGGCGGAAGCCUGAUGCAGCAACGCCGCGUGAGGGAUGACGGCCUUCGGGUUGUAAACCUCUUUUAGCAGGGAAGAAGCGAAAGUGACGGUACCUGCAGAAAAAGCGCCGGCUAACUACGUGCCAGCAGCCGCGGUAAUACGUAGGGCGCAAGCGUUAUCCGGAAUUAUUGGGCGUAAAGAGCUCGUAGGCGGUUUGUCGCGUCUGCUGUGAAAUCCCGAGGCUCAACCUCGGGCCUGCAGUGGGUACGGGCAGACUAGAGUGCGGUAGGGGAGAUUGGAAUUCCUGGUGUAGCGGUGGAAUGCGCAGAUAUCAGGAGGAACACCGAUGGCGAAGGCAGAUCUCUGGGCCGUAACUGACGCUGAGGAGCGAAAGGGUGGGGAGCAAACAGGCUUAGAUACCCUGGUAG